rnacentral:rRNA from 1 species
GAUCAUGGCUCAGGAUGAACGCUAGCUACAGGCUUAACACAUGCAAGUCGAGGGGAAACGACAUCGAAAGCUUGCUUUUUGUAUGGGCGUCGACCGGCGCACGGGUGAGUAACGCGUAUCCAACCUGCCCAUCACUUGGGAAUAACCUUGCGAAAGUAAGACUAAUGCCCAAUGAUAUCCCACGAAGGCAUCCGAAUGGGAUUAAAGAUUUAUCGGUGAUGGAUGGGGAUGCGU